rnacentral:rRNA from 1 species
GUGGCGAACGGGUGAGUAACACGUGGGCAAUCUGCCCUGCACUCUGGGACAAGCCCUGGAAACGGGGUCUAAUACCGGAUACUGACCCGCUUGGGCAUCCAAGCGGUUCGAAAGCUCCGGCGGUGCAGGAUGAGCCCGCGGCCUAUCAGCUUGUUGGUGAGGUAAUGGCUCACCAAGGCGACGACGGGUAGCCGGCCUGAGAGGGCGACCGGCCACACUGGGACUGAGACACGGCCCAGACUCCUACGGGAGGCAGCAGUGGGGAAUAUUGCACAAUGGGCGAAAGCCUGAUGCAGCGACGCCGCGUGAGGGAUGACGGCCUUCGGGUUGUAAACCUCUUUCAGCAGGGAAGAAGCGAAAGUGACGGUACCUGCAGAAGAAGCGCCGGCUAACUACGUGCCAGCAGCCGCGGUAAUACGUAGGGCGCGAGCGUUGUCCGGAAUUAUUGGGCGUAAAGAGCUCGUAGGCGGCUUGUCGCGUCGGUUGUGAAAGCCCGGGGCUUAACCCCGGGUCUGCAGUCGAUACGGGCAGGCUAGAGUUCGGUAGGGGAGAUCGGAAUUCCUGGUGUAGCGGUGAAAUGCGCAGAUAUCAGGAGGAACACCGGUGGCGAAGGCGGAUCUCUGGGCCGAUACUGACGCUGAGGAGCGAAAGCGUGGGGAGCGAACAGGAUUAGAUACCCUGGUAGUCCACGCCGUAAACGGUGGGCACUAGGUGUGGGCGACAUUCCACGUCGUCCGUGCCGCAGCUAACG